rnacentral:tRNA from 1 species
UAUAGCUCAGUGGUAGAGUGUGUCCUUAGCAUGCACAAGGUCCUGGGUUCAACCCCUAGUA